GCACACCGCCCGUCACACCAUGAGAGUUGGGAAUACCCGAAGCCUGUGAGCUAACUUUUAGAGGCAGCAGUCGAAGGUAGAAUCAAUGAUUGGGGUGAAGUCGUAACAAGGUAUC
rnacentral:rRNA from 1 species